GGUCCACGUGGCCUUUGUUAGACUGUGGCAGCUUGGCUUCCCCAGAGCCAAGAAGGUCCUUGGUGCAUCUGUCUCUAAACUCCUGUGUCCGCUGUUAAGGAAAAGAAGGGCUUGCGCAUGGCAGGAUUCAGGGACUGGUAGCAACGGCCGGGUCAGAAUCACAGAGUCAGAGUUCUAGAAGAUGAGUACUGUGGAGGUCUGGCUCCUGCCUUCAUUGCUAACUAGCUCCCUUCCCACAGUGGGAGGGUUACACCAGGCCCACAAAGGAGAAGAAGAGGAAAGAAGAGCAAGGGGAAGCGGCUCCUUGCAUGUGCUCAGGUUCACUCAUAGCAGCUGGUGUGUUCCCCAGCAGGGUCGGUUGAUACAACAAUAAGAAAAAUGUAUAUAUGCUAUAAUUCAAAAAGAUGCAUGCACCCCAAUGUUCACUGCAGCACUAUGUACAGUAGCCAAGACAUGGAAGCGACCUAAAUGUCCAUCAACAAAGGAAUGGGUAAAGAAGAUGUGGUGUAUAUAUAUAUAUAAAGGAAUAUUACCCAGCCAGUUGCAGUAACAUGGAUACAACUAGAGAUGAUUAUAUGAAGCCAAAUAUGGGGGCUGAACUUGACCUCAAAAACAUCCAACUCCCCAGGCUCUUGAACUGGAUCCUGGUGGGGAACACUUAUGAAGGUUCAGCUGAAGCAUUGCGUUUAAGUCAUUCAUUAGCCAGCGCCUGGCUGGGGGCUUUUGUGCCCCUUGGAUAGAAGCCUGCCGAAGGUCUGGGCCUCCCUGUCCUUGCCAAGGCCGCCCCAAGAAGGCAAUGGGUGCUUUACAGAAGAGCAGACACACAGUGCGUUUUGGACCAGCCCUCAGUUGUUUCCUCACCCUGGACUUCGGCUCAGGGCCUCGAAGAAGGCAAGGGACAUGGCCCCAAGCGUUACACCUGGCUCCUCAAGGAGCUGCGGUUCUGCGGCCCCACCUUAGGUGGGAUCUGAGGCCCUUAAAGCCAAGCUCAUCCUCUGUAAUUUAGGAGCUCACGUGUGUGUUUUGGCAGAAAAGGUGAGGUGCUCCGAUAGUCAAACACUGACCCCUCCUGCUUUUGGUGGUUUUCUCUCUAAGAAUCCCAUAGAUCACAGACACACUUGGGAUUUGGGGGCUAUUUAACUCCCCCUGGGACAGACAGACUUGACUCAACAGACUCCCUAGGAAAAGCACAGUGAGUUCUGAUGUACCUCCACUUAUAUCUUGGGUUCCCCAAAGAUUUGGCCCUCCGUGGCCCUAUUCUCAAUUAUUUAAUCUUCUCCAUAAGUGAGGGCACGAAUAAUAGCAGCGGGCACUUUAUCAAUUGCCUUCCCUCCAUCCCCCAAAAUAAUCCUCUUAUGGAAAAAUAGCAUUUUCUUAGGGAAAUGUUUCUUUGUUUUUGUUUGUUUGUUUGUUUGUUUGUUUAAGGGCCACAUCUGUAGCAUAUGGAAGUUCCCAGGCUAGGGGUGAAUUGGAACUGUAGCUGCCAGCCACAGCAAUGUGGGAUCUGAGCCGUGUCUGCGACCCAGUGACCUUGGCUGCAGCUUGGGACAAUGCUGGAUCCUUAACCCCAUGAGCGAGGCCAGGUAUUGAACCCGCAUCCUCAUGGAUACUCAUUGGGUUCUUAACCCUCUGAGCCACAACGGGAACUCAGGGAGAUGUUUCUUUUCACAAAGUACCCUCUUGGUGAAUUGCAUGCCUAUCCCAGCACUGCCAGCCAUUUUUCUCUUUGUCCAGCAGUGGAAACAUCCAAAGUUCUCCCCGUUUUGCUUCUCAGGCCAUCUUCCUCUGUUUCAGCUCCUUUCCUUUUCCUGUCCCCUCUCCUUCCUGACACCACCCCUGUCCAUCCCAUCAUUUUCUUCCUUCUCCUCUCUCUUUCCCCAGGAUAGGCAAGGUACCUGGUCUCUGAGGUCCUACAGCAUCCACCCCCUGCCCCCACCCCAUCAUAGCAUUGCUCACACUGGACUGCAAUUGUCCCCUCAACCACUGGGCCCUCUGAGACAAGGGACACGGCCAGCUGACCUUGUGCCUUCAGCAUCUAGCAUGUCAUAUCGUAAAGGCUCAUUAAAUGCAUGUAAUUUAUUUUUAGUUUAUUUUAUUUGGCCAUGCCAGGGCCAUGUGGAAGUUCCCAAGCCAGAGAUCAAACCUGUGCCACAGCAGUGACAAUGCCAGGUCCUUAACCCACUGCACCACAUGGGAACUCCUAAAUGCAUGUUAUGCACAUCUUUUUUUUUGGGGGGGGGGAACCAGGCGCACAGCAUUGCAGAAGUUCCCAGGCCAGGGAUCAAACCUGUACCACAGCAGUGAAAACAAGGGAUCCUCAACGACUAGACCACCAGGGAACUUCUAAAUGUAUGUGAUGUAAAAGAGUAUCCACUGUCUGCUUCUCCGAAAUCACUUUCCUGCAUUUCUGACAGCAGCCAGCUGGAUUUGUGGCCCUCACAUGUGCUUCAGGAAUCUAGAGUUUUGAACGUGGCUAGUAAAAAUAUAAUGCAAGCCAUGUGCAUAAUUUUAAAUUUCCUAGUAGCCGCGUUAGGGGAAAAAAAAAAGUGAAAUUGGGGAGUUCCCAUCAUGGCGCAGCAGAAACAAAUCCGACCAGGAACCAUGAGGUUGUGGGUUUGAUCCCUGGCCUCAAUCAAUGGCUUAAGGAUCUGACAUUGCUGUGAGCUGUGAUGUAGGUCGCAGACGCAGCUCAGAUCUGGCAUUGCUGUGGCUGUAGCUGUGGCUGGCAGCUGCAACUCUGAUUGGACCUCUAGCCUGGGAACCUCCGUGUGCCACGGGUGCGGCCCUAAAAAAAAAAGGAAAUUGAAUUAAACAAUGUAGUUUAUUGAGCUCGAUAUAUCCAAAAUAUUUCAACAUGUAAUCAAAUAAGGAUUAUUAUAGAGAGAUUCUUACUGUGCAGCCCUAAAAAGCAAAAACCAAAAAAAAAAAAGAAAAAAAAA
rnacentral:tRNA from 1 species